rnacentral:lncRNA from 1 species
GAACUCUAGAAUCGUCUAAAUGGUUACCGAAUUAUUCAGCUCUCUAAAUUGUAAUAUGAUUAGAGACUGUUUAAGAUUGUAAGUUGAUGUUUAAUUUGAUGGGAACAAAGAUAUGAUGUCUAGCUAAAGAUUUUUAUUAAAUUAUGAGCUUAAACUUUUCUUAGGUAUAGAUUUGGCAAAUAAUGAGUUUAAGUUUUUGAAAGUGAGUUUGUUGAGCAAAGAGUAACAAAUGAUAAUCGUUAAUUAUUGGUAUUGCUAUGUAAAGGAGGAUGGGCAUUUGAUUUGAUUGAUUUCCCGAUGGAUGGGCUUGUGGAUUGAAUGAAUAUA